rfam:Stegodyphus mimosarum contig120577, whole genome shotgun sequence.
GUCUUCGUGGUGUAACGGUAGCGCACUCAGCUCGUAUUCGAGAGGUCCAAGUUCGAUUCCCGACGAGGGCA